rnacentral:rRNA from 1 species
GACGAACGCUGGCGGCGUGCUUAACACAUGCAAGUCGAACGCUGAAGCUCAGCUUUUGUUGGGUGGAUGGGUGGCGAACGGGUGAGUAACACGUGAGUAACCUGCCCCCUUCUUUGGGAUAACGCCCGGAAACGGGUGCUAAUACUGGAUAUUCACUGGUCUUCGCAUGGGGGUUGGUGGAAAGGGUUUUUCUGGUGGGGGAUGGGCUCGCGGCCUAUCAGCUUGUUGGUGGGGUGAUGGCCUACCAAGGCUUUGACGGGUAGCCGGCCUGAGGGGGUGACCGGUCACAUUGGGACUGAGAUACGGCCCAGACUCCUACGGGAGGCAGCAGUGGGGAAUAUUGCACAAUGGGCGCAAGCCUGAUGCAGCGACGCCGCGUGAGGGAUGGAGGCCUUCGGGUUGUGAACCUCUUUCGCUCAUGGUCAAGCCGCAACAAUGGUUGUGGUGAGGGUAGUGGGUAAAGAAGCGCCGGCUAACUACGUG